ACAUCUCUAUCUAGGAAUGUACUACCUGCUUUAAAAAUCUGUGCUAUUUUCCUCUAAAGUUAUACUUUGUGUCUAAAACUUGCAGAUGUAAUUGCUCUAGUUACAGGAAUCACGGAUUUUCUUCCUCCUACUGUAAAUGCACGGGAGCCAAGACGUCAAAUCUUUAUUACCAACCGACAAUAUACUAUCAUUUUUCUCACAUUUACAGCAGUGUACAUCAUCCAUGAAUGACCACUUCUACAAAAUUCAGCAACUUAACUAAUUAUGCAGGAGACACGCAAUAGUUAUGCUUUGGGGAGAUUUUGUGCACUCCUUUGAUGCAGACACACCGCGCUCCUGAGCCAAGAGGGAACCCGUUUUGGUACUGUUUGUUGGGGUCAUGGUAGAUCGGUAUGCAGGCUCGAUGGCUUUUAAAAACACGUAGAGGCUGAAGACCAGACAGACCCACCUUUUGCCGAGUUUACUUUCUUUGGGCAGCAAGAACUAAUAACCGAAACAACUGCAGAAUGUGCAGCAGCCCAUGCGAAGGGUUUGCCACCUGAAAUAGAGAGGCUUCACGGGGAAGCGGAUUUGUAGCACCCGGGUGCUCCAAACCCCUAUACGAACAUUAAAUUCAAAAAAAUACCGAGAAAUUUGAAGAAAAAAAAAGAGAUUUUGGGAUAUCAAACCUGGGUUCCUGAUCUACUCCCGCGUGAAUUUUUGUGAAAAAAUACCAAGAAACGUAUUCGUGGCCAAAAAGACAAAAAAUCCUAUGUAUAAAAAAACUGUUUGGAUGGAUUUUUGUUCGGACAGUAUUUCCUUCGUCACGCAUAUGUUUCCUGAUAUUUUUUCAUGAAAUUUUACACGGGAGUAGAUUGAGAACCCAGUUUUGAUAUCCCUAAAUUUCAGUUUUUUUGAAUUUUUUUGGUAUUUUUUACGUUUAAUAUUCGUAUAGGGGUGUGGAGCACCCAGGAGCUCUUGUGUAUUUUCUGGCUUCACGGCAAGAAAUUAAUUACUACAUUCACUACAAAUGAUCAAACUCUGAGAGUCGACUUCUACCAUUUCAAAGUGUAAGCAACAGAUCACUUCGACAACGAAAGACCACUUGCACAGUUUCCGAUGCGUAAUCCAGCAGCAGUUCUAGACAUUCAUGGCCCUUCAUCCUCUGCAUCUGCAACAACUGAAGAUCCUCUUGCAACACAACCGUCUAUUAAGGACGGUCAGCAGAGUAAUUCACCAUCUGAAUCAGAACCAGCUGAGCCACGUAAUGACAAGAUAGGCUCAAGCGGCAAGAAAAGGUCAGCAGAUAGCAACAAACUUGUGGAAACAUAGGCGAAGAAGAGGCCUGCAGCAAAAGAGUUGUUCCCUGCAGCAACCGCCCAGGAAAGUGAAGCUACUACGGAGAAGUAGACCACCUCUCGAAUAUAGUUCUAUCCAGUAGUCAUACCAGGCACACUCCGUUAUGUAUAUGAACCAAGAUGCAGAUAUGCAUCUAUGCCCGUCGAACUAAGUAGGUCGUGUUAGUAUCUUCUGUUGCACAAGCGUGCUGUGAGCCUUAAGCAUGUUGUUUGCAUCGCAAUAACAUCCUUUUGGCCAGAUUGUUGUAAACGCGUUCCAAGACAUGGACAUGUAUCCAUACCAGUUAAGUAAUUUAUGUUUAUAGAUAUAAGCCCC